UACAGAGGUCCCAAGCGUUGUUCGGAUUCACUGGGCGUAAAGGGUGCGUAGGUGGUGAGGUAAGUCGGAUGUGAAAUCUCCGGGCUCAACCCGGAAAUGGCAUUGGAAACUACCUUGCUAGAGGAUUUGAGGGGGGAUUGGAAUACUUGGUGUAGCAGUGAAAUGCGUAGAUAUCAAGUGGAACACCAGUGGCGAAGGCGAAUCCCUGGAAAAUACCUGACACUGAGGAGCGAAAGCGUGGGUAGCAAACAGG
rnacentral:rRNA from 1 species